UACGUAGGGUGCAAGCGUUGUCCGGAAUUAUUGGGCGUAAAGAGCUCGUAGGCGGUUUGUCGCGUCUGCUGUGAAAACCCGAGGCUCAACCUCGGGCCUGCAGUGGGUACGGGCAAACUAGAGUGCGGUAGGGGAGAAUGGAAUUCCUGGUGUAGCGGUGGAAUGCGCAGAUAUCAGGAGGAACACCGGUGGCGAAGGCGGGUCUCUGGGCAUUUCCUGACGCUGAGGCGCGAAAAGCGUGGGGGAGCGAACAGG
rnacentral:rRNA from 1 species